rnacentral:rRNA from 1 species
UACAGGGGGGGCAAGUAUUAUUCUACAUGACUGGGCGUAAAGGAUGUGUAGGCUGUUUUUUUAAAUAAUAAUUAGAAAUCCCAUAUUAAAAUUAUGGAAAUUUUUAUUAUAUUGUAAAACUUUGAGUUUAUAAAAGAUAAUAGAACCGAUAGAGUAACAGUGAAAUGUUCGAAAACUAUAGGGAAUCCCAGUUGGCGAAGGCGAUUAUCUUGUUAAAACUGACGCUGAUACAUGAAGGUUUGGGGAGCAAACAGG